UGGAAAUUUAGAUAAAAUACGACCUAUCACAAAAGAGUGUGAAAUUAAGACACAAAGAAUGAAAAACAAAUACAAAACAUAAAUGUUUACAAGUAUUCGCAGUUGUUCCAUCAUCUAGUUUAAUUGACUGACUUGUCAUAUCCACAUACUGGUGUACCCAACUCACUGGACCAUCAAGCACUUCAGUGGCACUAAGCUGUCUUCGAGCGAUAAUAUCUGUUGAAUCAAACAUAUCUUUUCCUGGACCAAACCCUGUGCAGUUUUGUGACCUUCCAUUGCAGGUAG